GCGUUCGUGGUGUAGUGGUUAGCACACUCGGCGCGUAUUCCAGAGGUCCGUGGUUCGACUCCCGGCGAGGGCA
rnacentral:tRNA from 1 species